rnacentral:lncRNA from 1 species
CCAGAAUUCAGUGCAGUGUGAGAUUCCCUGCAGCUGGAGCAGGCCAGCCAGGGCAAGGUGACAGCAGGCACUGCUAAUGGGACAUGAACUGAAACACAUCCAGUGACUCUGAGAAGCACAGAGACACGGACACAACAUCCUCAGCACCCCAUAUCAGCUAAUUUCUUCACCUGUAUUCUUCAUUUAGACUUGAUGCAGGAAGCAGAGCUUUGGAUCAAUACCGGGUCUGUGGUGGCACGGAGCAAUCCCCACUGCCCACCAGACAGAUUGAAAUGUCCGCUGCUCAGAAGGUGCAAACUACCCAAAAAUGCAACAAAAGUGCCAAAUUAAUCUGCAAAUCAAAAGCUCAUUUUGAUGAGUUCUGCUUACAUACUGCAUGCUUCCAGUUUUCUGUUUCAACAGAAUGCUAAAAUAAACCCCUGAAGUUCUGUCUGGUGUUCUUUUAC